AACGCGAAGAACCUUACCUAGGCUUGACAUGCACGGAAAUCCUCCAGAGAUGGGGGGUCCGUAAGGGCCGUGCACAGGUGGUGCAUGGUUGUCGUCAGCUCGUGUCGUGAGAUGUUGGGUUAAGUCCCGCAACGAGCGCAACCCUCGUUCCAUGUUGCCAGCGGGUAAUGCCGGGGACUCAUGGGAGACUGCCGGGGUCAACUCGGAGGAAGGUGGGGAUGACGUCAAAUCAUCAUGCCCCUUAUGUCUAGGGCUGCAAACAUGCUACAAUGGCCGGUACAAAGGGCUGCGAUACCGCGAGGUGGAGCGAAUCCCAAAAAGCCGGUCUCAGUUCGGAUUGGGGUCUGCAACUCGACCCCAUGAAGUUGGAGUCGCUAGUAAUCGUGGAUCAGAAUGCCACGGUGAAUACGUUCCCGGGUCUUGUACACACCG
rnacentral:rRNA from 1 species